rnacentral:rRNA from 1 species
GUCGAGCGGUAGCACAGAGAGCUUGCUCUCGGGUGACGAGCGGCGGACGGGUGAGUAAUGUCUGGGAAACUGCCUGAUGGAGGGGGAUAACUACUGGAAACGGUAGCUAAUACCGCAUAACGUCGCAAGACCAAAGUGGGGGACCUUCGGGCCUCAUGCCAUCAGAUGUGCCCAGAUGGGAUUAGCUAGUAGGUGGGGUAACGGCUCACCUAGGCGACGAUCCCUAGCUGGUCUGAGAGGAUGACCAGCCACACUGGAACUGAGACACGGUCCAGACUCCUACGGGAGGCAGCAGUGGGGAAUAUUGCACAAUGGGCGCAAGCCUGAUGCAGCCAUGCCGCGUGUGUGAAGAAGGCCUUCGGGUUGUAAAGCACUUUCAGCGGGGAGGAAGGCGGUGAGGUUAAUAACCUCAUCGAUUGACGUUACCCGCAGAAGAAGCACCGGCUAACUCCGUGCCAGCAGCCGCGGUAAUACGGAGGGUGCAAGCGUUAAUCGGAAUUACUGGGCGUAAAGCGCACGCAGGCGGUCUGUCAAGUCGGAUGUGAAAUCCCCGGGCUCAACCUGGGAACUGCAUUCGAAACUGGCAGGCUAGAGUCUUGUAGAGGGGGGUAGAAUUCCAGGUGUAGCGGUGAAAUGCGUAGAGAUCUGGAGGAAUACCGGUGGCGAAGGCGGCCCCCUGGACAAAGACUGACGCUCAGGUGCGAAAGCGUGGGGAGCAAACAGGAUUAGAUACCCUGGUAGUCCACGCCGUAAACGAUGUCGAUUUGGAGGUUGUGCCCUUGAGGCGUGGCUUCCGGAGCUAACGCGUUAAAUCGACCGCCUGGGGAGUACGGCCGCAAGGUUAAAACUCAAAUGAAUUGACGGGGGCCCGCACAAGCGGUGGAGCAUGUGGUUUAAUUCGAUGCAACGCGAAGAACCUUACCUGGUCUUGACAUCCACAGAACUUUCCAGAGAUGGAUUGGUGCCUUCGGGAACUGUGAGACAGGUGCUGCAUGGCUGUCGUCAGCUCGUGUUGUGAAAUGUUGGGUUAAGUCCCGCAACGAGCGCAACCCUUAUCCUUUGUUGCCAGCGGUCCGGCCGGGAACUCAAAGGAGACUGCCAGUGAUAAACUGGAGGAAGGUGGGGAUGACGUCAAGUCAUCAUGGCCCUUACGACCAGGGCUACACACGUGCUACAAUGGCAUAUACAAAGAGAAGCGACCUCGCGAGAGCAAGCGGACCUCAUAAAGUAUGUCGUAGUCCGGAUUGGAGUCUGCAACUCGACUCCAUGAAGUCGGAAUCGCUAGUAAUCGUAGAUCAGAAUGCUACGGUGAAUACGUUCCCGGGCCUUGUACACACCGCCCGUCACACCAUGGGAGUGGGUUGCAAAAGAAGUAGGUAGCUUAACCUUCGGGAGGGCGCUUACCACUUUGUGAUUCAUGACUGGGGUGAAGUCGUAACAAGGUAACCGUAGGGGAACCUGCGGUUGGAUCACCUCCUUACCUUAAAGAA